GGCCGCCAGUAGCACAUGGCACCAUGGGUCUUACCAGUGCGACGUAUCCUGUCCAGCAUUCUGGCCAGUGCAGAUGGGAAUUCGCUUCCUUGCCUGUUCUCCCGGAACUCCCUCAUCUGGGAAAGGUCCUGCUCAGCAGGAUGCAUCCGUGGCUGCAGAGCGGAGCACACCUGCGGGCUCCCCCCUGCGCCCCUCAAAGUGAGCAGCCACUUCUGGUGGGUCAUCGCUCCUUGCGCACGUCUCGGCUUCCAGAUCUCCGACUCCAACGGAUCUGCGAGAGACCUUGGGCGGCCUGGGAACACAGUCACACACAGCUGCCUUGGCCGGCGAAGGAACGCCAGCCUGCUUCGCCCAGCGAGGGCCACGCUGAAUGUCAGAAGCAGCUGUUUGUGGACUUCGGCCAGGCGUGUUUUGGUGUUCCUGGCGCGAAGGGCUGCUCCAGCCGUGCUCUGCGGCUGCUCUCCUGCCUGCAGAGUCAGUGCUAUUAAUAUCAGCAACAGCAGCGCCGAAUCCCUGGACAGGCUGCUCCCUACCGUGGGCGCCACGCGGUCACCGCGGAAACGGACCACCAGCCAGUGCAAGUCGGAGCCUCCCCUGCUCCGGACGAGUAAGAGGACGAUCUACACUGCCGGACGGCCCCCCUGGUACAACGAGCAUGGCACACAGUCCAAAGAGGCGUUCGUCAUUGGACUCGGGGGAGGAAGUGCUUCCGGAAAGACAACGGUGGCCAGAAUGAUCAUCGAGGCCUUGGACGUGCCCUGGGUGGUGCUCCUUUCCAUGGACUCGUUCUACAAGGUCCUGACGAAGGAGCAGCAGCAGCAGGCGGCCAGCAACGAUUACAACUUCGACCACCCCGAUGCCUUCGAUUUUGACCUGAUCAUCUCCACCCUGAAGAAGCUCAAGCAGGGCAAAAGUGUCAAGAUCCCCAUUUACGACUUCACCACCCAUAGCCGCAAGAAAGAAUGGAAAACUCUCUAUGGAGCCAACGUGAUUAUAUUCGAAGGCAUCAUGGCGUUCGCUGAUAAAGAGCUGCUGAAGCUUCUAGACAUGAAGAUCUUUGUCGACACGGACUCCGACAUCCGGCUGGUCCGGCGCCUGCGCAGAGACAUCAGCGAGCGCGGCAGGGACAUCGAUGGAGUUAUAAAGCAGUACAACAAAUUUGUCAAGCCAGCCUUUGACCAGUACAUUCAACCCACCAUGCGGCUGGCUGACAUCGUCGUCCCUCGAGGCAGUGGGAACACCAUAGCCAUUGACCUAAUCGUCCAGCACGUGCACAGCCAGCUGGAAGAGAGGAAGCUACGCUGGGAUAUGUGAGGAACGCAUUCCCGGUCCCGUUUGGCCUGGCCUUUUGGCUUGCUUUGAUUGCUAAAUUGUGUGAGCUUUUGCUGGGCCCCAGCCUGCAUGUUCAGGAGGCCAUGGAGUGGUCAGACAACACCUCCCAGCCCACUUUGGCCCAAAGACAAAUCGAUGCUUUCUGCUCGGGGGUUUGAGGCCCAGGGAGGAGCCCGGAGAUCCCUUGGUAGUGGAGAACCCCAAAUCAGCAGGAGAGAAUACCAGAGAUGCCCUUGGCCUUCCUUAGCUCUCUCGGGGGCCAACGUUCCUUAGGAGUCGGGAGCUAGAGAAGUGGGGAUAUUAAGCCCCAAAGCAGAAAAGGGCUGCCAGCAAGUCCUCCUUUCCCUCUGCGGGUUUCUUCCCCUUCCAUCAGCUUUGGCCGGGAAGUCUUAAACCAGCAGAGCAACCCUUGCCCAGGGGAAAUGUCGCAUGUCGCCUGGAUUGCCAGGGGAUCGUGGAUGCCCCUUUCCUGGAAUAAAAAGCAGGUGUUUUGGGAACCGUCCACAGCAGUAUCCAGCAAAUCACAGCUGGAAACAAGAUUCUGGCCCAGCGACCUCUCCGGUCUCACGGUGCCGCUCCCGUGCGGGGUUCGCUCUGUGCAGCUCAGCACCGCUUGGCAGGAUAGGCUUGUUGGCAGACCCGUGGGCCGAGCUGGAGGUUUCAUGUGGGGCGCCAAGACGGGGCAGGGCCCUUCCUCUGAUGGACGUCUCUCUGCCUUUCAGAUGGCACGGCGGGAAGGCCACUUCGCAUUGGCAUCCUGUGCCAGUGGCUGAUAAAGCCGUCUUGCAGGCUGGGCCCAGGCGAGGGGUGGGUGCAAGUGAGGAUCAUGCUUGGCCGUACUCACCCAGCGCCCGACUCGGGUUUCUCUUUCUGCACAGGUGCCCCGCUGCUGUGCAGCCCUGCGGGCAUGCUGGACAGGGGCCGAUAACAGGGGGGGUCUGCAAACGUAUGUCGUGCCAUGCUCUUGUCCGCAGCAAUUGAAAACGGGGGUAUCGGAAGACAUACCCCCCACCCCCAACACACACACACCAGUUGUUGCUGUUCUGAACAACACUGGGCACUGCACCCCACUUCCUGCAUCCAGAUUUUGCCCCCGGCCAAGCAGCCCUGUCACUUGCGUAAAGUAGCAUCCAAGCUGCCAGUCCCUGUUGUUUUAUGGCAGCCAAGAGGUCCUGCCACGCUCUUCCAAAAACUUCAGGGAAACCCGCAGUGGAUAGGCUGUGGUGAAAAGGCCCGUGUGGAGUGAGAGGAUGUGGAGGUACAACUCAGAGGUAGCAGAAGCAAUAUUAAAACUAGAUCAAGCUAGAUAGUCUGUGUGUUGCCACCGGCUACCUAAGAAGUGAAGGCAACACUGCUUGGGGCUAAAUCGCCAUUAGGACAACAACCUAUUUGCGUGUGUAUUUGUAUCUGUGCACAGUAGCUGUGGGGAAAUCUGAUUGGGGCCACGGCUUGGGGUGGGGGAGCCUUUUAACUCCUUUCUCCCCCCCCCAGCUGUGCCCCCAAAAAAUCACCCACCAAAAAACAGCUGUGUGCCCAGGCAGGGUAGCUGCAGCUGGCUUUGACAGCCAUUUUCAGCUGUGACCAGUCUCUUGGCGGGAGGAUUUUGCUGGGACAAAGGCAUGUGUUGUGGCAGGCAGUGAAAGCGGUCCCUCCACCCACGUUCUUCACGGUUGCUCUCUAAAAACAUGCAAAAGCAGAAUGCAUGCCAUGCACUGUGAAGUUUGGCCCCCGGUUGCUUUUUUCUGGUGCGGCAGAGGGGAAACCAAAAUGAAUGCAGGGGCCCAGACUUCCAAGGGUCCCUCUCCCCCUUGAUGCCCCACAGCUGACCCACAGACCUGCUGGUGCUCCGGCCCCUCUGCUUGGUCGGCUCGUGUUCUUUGCUCGCAUUCAAUAACUCUUCGUUAAAAUACUGUGCACAAAAGCAGGUGCGCCUGAUUGUUAAAAAGCAGCAAUAAUGUGGGCCCGGUGCCAACCAACAGUGGAACGGCAGACCUGUUUCCAGACAGGUAGGGGCUCCCACCUUUGGACAAAAGCACAUCAGUGUCUCUGCACAGACGACUCGGGAAGAAGGCGCAUGAGUGCCGUGCCUUUCC